rnacentral:rRNA from 1 species
CCUACGGGAGGCAGCAGUGGGGAAUAUUGCACAAUGGGCGCAAGCCUGAUGCAGCGACGCCGCGUGAGGGAUGACGGCCUUCGGGUUGUAAACCUCUUUCAGUAGGGAAGAAGCGAAAGUGACGGUACCUGCAGAAGAAGCGCCGGCUAACUACGUGCCAGCAGCCGCGGUAAUACGUAGGGCGCAAGCGUUAUCCGGAAUUAUUGGGCGUAAAGAGCUCGUAGGCGGUUUGUCGCGUCUGCCGUGAAAGUCCGGGGCUCAACUCCGGAUCUGCGGUGGGUACGGGCAGACUAGAGUGAUGUAGGGGAGACUGGAAUUCCUGGUGUAGCGGUGAAAUGCGCAGAUAUCAGGAGGAACACCGAUGGCGAAGGCAGGUCUCUGGGCAUUAACUGACGCUGAGGAGCGAAAGCAUGGGGAGCGAACAGGAUUAGAUACCCUGGUAGUCCAUGCCGUAAACGUUGGGCACUAGGUGUGGGGGACAUUCCACGUUUUCCGCGCCGUAGCUAACGCAUUAAGUGCCCCGCCUGGGGAGUACGGCCGCAAGGCUAAAACUCAAAGAUAGUACGCGNGNGAGAGCGACGACGACGACGAGGAGGAG